GUGUUCUUGGACUGUUUUCCUUUGUUUCUGCAUUUUCUUACUUCUCUGAUUAAACUUAUUCUUUGGCUAAAGUUUCCCCACAGACAAAAGGCAGGCAGAGGACAUGAGGGACAAGGAAUCAUAGGGUCUUGCUCUGUUUCAAUGAGGAAACCAGUAAGAUAUGAAAACUGACUCCAAGAGAUUUGAGAAGCCAGGCAUUGGUAACAACGCUAAGAUAAGAUUGCUGGGUUAUAUACAAGUCUGACAGUUAUUCAACAGGGACAGGAAUUGUCAUCUGGGGGAUCUUUUCCCAAAUGACAGAAGAAAUUGCUUCUUUAUCAGACAGAAAUACCCAAAUUAACGUGUAACUUCACUAAGUCUGGGACCUUGAAUAAACAGUAUAUGGUGAAUCAAACCACAUUUCUCUAGGCAAUCCUCAGGUGGCCUUCAUCUCAUGUGGCCCUGAGGAAGGCCAUGUGGCCAGACCCUUCUUAGUACCUCAGUGAAAGCCAGCCUGGCGUUAAGCUCAUCACCCACUCUUCAGUCGUCAGCUGAGAGGUGAACUAACGUAAGCGUGCUGGUGUUGGUGACAACGCCCCUCUCACAUCCUCCUCCUGACUCGAUCACUAAUUCACUCCACGGUGAAAGAAGCUGUGAACCAGAGAACUCAGUGAAAAAGGAUUUCCCUGGAGACAGGCAUUGACUGAAGUGCUGGCCUCCUAAGCCCAUGCCAACUCACAGGGUUCAUCUACAGGGCCAGGUGACAGAAGUCUCUCCUUUCUCCACUGCAAAGGAAAUGCCUUCAGAUCUGAGUCGUAAAAAAGAUGACAUUUCUAAUUUUUUGAAAAAUAAAUAAAAUGGCUCUGCAAAGCUAGAACAUUUGGGUCACAUCCCAGAGCCACCCAAUGAUACCUUCUCUGUGUUUCAGCCAAUGGCUUCAAGGCACCUAAAGUAUCAGUAGGGGUUUUCCAAACUCUGGCUCCUGGACAGCUUUACCUGGAGGGCAGCUGCAGGUAAAUCCUGAAUAGCCAAGCUGGUGGGUGUUAAAUCAGUUGCCUGGGUCAUACUUAGGUCCUUGGGGUUCCCAGAGACUGAAGAUUCUGCACAAGAAUGGCUCAGGUACAUUCAUUGCCAGUCACUUCCAAUAAUC
rnacentral:lncRNA from 1 species